GUAAGGAAUAUUGGACAAUGGACGCAAGUCUGAUCCAGCCAUGCCGCGUGAAGGAUUAAGGUCCUCUGGAUUGUAAACUUCUUUUAUAAGGGACGAAAAAAGGCUUUUCUAAGUCGUCUGACGGUACCUUAUGAAUAAGCACCGGCUAACUCCGUGCCAGCAGCCGCGGUAAUACGGAGGGUGCAAGCGUUAUCCGGAUUCACUGGGUUUAAAGGGUGCGUAGGCGGGCAGGUAAGUCAGUGGUGAAAUCCUAGAGCUUAACUCUAGGACUGCCAUUGAUACUAUCUGUCUUGAAUAUUGUGGAGGUAAGCGGAAUAUGUCAUGUAGCGGUGAAAUGCUUAGGUAUGACAUAGAACACCUAUUGCGAAGGCAGCUUACUACGCAUAUAUUGACGCUGAGGCACGAAAGCGUGGGGAUCAAACAGGAUUAGAUACCCGGGGAGUCC
rnacentral:rRNA from 1 species